UACGUAGGGGGCAAGCGUUGUCCGGAUUUAUUGGGCGUAAAGAGCGUGUAGGCGGCCAGACAGGUCCGUUGUGAAAACUCGAGGCUCAACCUCGAGAUGUCGAUGGAAACCGUCUGGCUAGAGUCCGGAAGAGGAGUGUGGAAUUCCUGGUGUAGCGGUGAAAUGCGCAGAUAUCUGGAGGAACACCGGUGGCGAAGGCGGCAUCCUGGACCGGUAUUGACGCUGAGGAGCGAAAGCCAGGGGAGCAAACGGG
rnacentral:rRNA from 1 species